AGGAAGGGAGGGGUGGGAUUCCAAAUCGCCGAAGGUCAUGCGUAGUUUAUUAUCUUGCAAUUCCAGAACGUUGGUAACCGUCUGCAUAUACAAGUUUUCUUGCGUUACCAGAAGACCCCGUUCUCUGAUUUUACUGGCUUUCUUUAACCCGUGUCCUUCCAACAUUAAAUUCCACCUGGUCUAUGCGCGGUAGAAAUCACAUGGGUCCUCCAGGUCCCUCCAUCCAAGUGAGCUUUCUCCCUCCUCGUCUCCUCAACCUGAGAAAGAAUUAAAAACCAACAUCCUUUGGCAGGCAGCAGCAUUCAAAGACUAAAGUAAGAAGUGAUGGUGCAGCCAUAAAGAUGGACAAUCUUCAAGCUAAAAAAAAAAGAAGUGAAAAGAAUGAGCCUAGAUUCUAAGCAUGGUUUCCCUUUUCCCCAGAGAUCUGAACCACAGAUAAUGAGUUUACUUCACUGUGAUAAUAAAUCGAAGAACAAAUGGUUAUUGGCCAUUCCAGAAAGAGUCACUUCUUGAUUCCACAUAUAAGUGAAAUGAGAUGGGUUUUGUCUUCCUCUGACUUAUUUCACCUAGCAUAAUACCUUCUAGGUCCAUUUAUGUCACUGCAAAUGAUACCUACUAGUAGAAUUGCUCAACCCACUGUUUACCGAAAUAUCAAAUGAAAUAAUGGAAUGGAAUGGAAUGGAACACAAUAUAAUAAAGUAGAAAUAAGAAUCCAUCACAUGUAUUAAGGCAGCAUCAACACCUGGGAAUGUGUUAAAAAUGCACAGACUCAACCCUGUCCAGACCCACCGAAUCACAGCCUGUGUGGAGAGGACCGUAAUCUGGAUUUUUUAACAAGACUUUCAGGACCCCAUCCAAGACACGACAUUAUAUUCAGUUAUCAUGUCUACUUAGGCUCCUCUCACCUUGGAUAAUUUCUCAGACUUUCCUUGUUCAUGACCUUGACAGUUUUAAGGAGUCCAGGUCAGGUAUUUUGUACAAUGUUCAUUGAUUUGGGUUUUUCUGAUGUUUUCCUCAUGGUUAACUUGAGUUUCUGGGUUUUAGGGAAGAAGACUACAGAGGUACAGUGCCCCACUUUUUUUAAAUAUUUAUUUAUUUAUUUAUUUAUUUAUUUAUUUAUUUAUUUAUGAGAGAAAAUGAGAGAGUGAGAGAGAGAGAGCAGAGGGAGAGAAUGUUCAAGCAGAUUCCCUGCUGAGCAAGAGCCAGAGUCAGCGCUCCAUAUCAAAACCCAUGAGAUCAUGACCUGAUCUGAAACCAAGAUUCAGGUGCUUAAUUGACUGAGCCACCCAGGUGCCCCAGUGAAGUGCCCUCUUGUACACCACAGGCCAUCUGCUAUCAACAUGACUUAGCACUGAUAAUGCUGACCUUGACCACCUGGCCAAGGUAGUGCUUGCCAGGUUUCUCUACUGUAAGGUUACUUUUUUCUCCCUUUUCAUACUCUUAAGUCAGUAAGUAUAGCCCAAACUUGAAUUGGGGGAGGGGAGCUUAAGCUCCCCCUCCGAAUUAUAUAAAUUAUUUGGAAUUCUGUAAGACCGAUUUAAUCUCUUCUCCCCCACUGAUUUCUUUAUUCAUUCAUUCAUAUCAGCAUGGACUCAUGGAUAUUUUAUACUUUAAGUUCUAACAUUAGGUUAUUUAUUUUCAUGCUCAUAUUGUUCCAGCUUUGGUCAGCUCUGGCAGGAUGACUCCUGCAUUCUUGAAGAUGCCCACCCUUUUAUUUCUUGAACAAUUCUUCACUUUCUGGUGCUGCAGGAUAUUCCUGACUCAUCUUGUAUAUUCCCUUCUAUGUCCCAACCCUGGAGAGUCAUUUCUCCAAGAAAACCUGCUUCCUUUUGUCAGGGAAUGGUAUCAGAAGGGAAGAGCCAUGCUCUGGGUGUUGCCCAUUGGCCUGGCACUCAAAGAUCACACUGUAACUGUCUAUGGCAGGCAUGGCCUCCCCUGGAGCCUUGCUCUGGAGCAUGUACUUUGUUCACCAGCAUCGUCUUACUGAAUUAGCAUUGUCACAUGUUGGAGACUUCAUACUUCUGUGUGGUGGGACUUCAGUUUGAAGAAUUUGUCUGCCAUGGACAUGACUAACAGCCAAGGUGCAUGGGUUCUCCUGGACACGGAACAAUUCAUUCUACCACUCAGAGGUAACAAAUACAUAUUUACCUCAUAUAUACACUGUUCCAGGCACUAGUGAUACAGCAGUGGAAAAACAGACAAACAAAAACCAGACUUCCUACUCACAUGGAGCUAACAUACUUGCUAGGGAAUAAAGGUCACAAACAGAAGCCAAUAUGUAAAGAUCAGAGGACUACCAGGGCAGGCUAGCUAGAGAGAGCCAGCAAGGAGGGAAGGGGUCUGGGGAGGGGGGCGGCGGUAACAGACCCAGAGUGAAGGGAGGUCAUCAGUUGGCUUUGAACAGAGGAACAGUUCCUCUCUUUUCUCCUUUUUUAGGGACCACUCUGACUCUCAUGUUUAAAGUUGCCUGUUGAUAGGAGUCUUGGGCAGUAGGAAGGCAAAGGGCAAAGCAGGUAGGCCAGCCAGGCAGCUCUCACAGUCACCUAGGCCAGGGAUGAUAGGGGCCUGGGCCAGGGUGGUGGCAAUAGGAGUGGCACGUGGAAGAGAGAAGGAGCCAUGGAUUACUCCAAGGUGUUUUGUCUGUGCCAUUCCACAUAGAGUUGGACUUGACCUCGAUGAAGAGGGCUCCAGGAUCAGGUUGGGAUAGGAGAGGGUCAGGAAGCUGGACCAGAGACAUGAUAAGUUAGCAAUGGUGAAGGAAGUAAAACGUCAGUACCAUAAAGUGCGUAACUUGCCCACAUCCCUCAGAACUACCUUAGAAACAGCAGUUAAGAUGUCUUUCCCACUCCAGUGACUCAGCACCCAGACUGGAAUGUAAGCCCUAGGCCUGCACAACUAGAAUGAUAGCAGUCAUGCACAGGAAGUCAUUUGUGUCUCCCGUGGGCCCAGGUGAGCCACACAUCCUGCUCACACCAUGUCAGUCUUAUACAACCUGUGCGGAGACAGGGCAGGAAACCAGUUGUCUGUAGCUUGCUGCUGGCCUCUCAAGAACAUGAAGAUGCUGUACCUGCUGUACUUUCCAUUUUGUAUCUCUCUGCAAAGCCCCCUACAUGUAAUAUGAGAUUUACACCUGUUUGUGUCUUGAGUCUGAUACCAGCUCAUAUCCAUCACCACACCUGUGCUACUGAAAAAUAAA